rnacentral:sRNA from 1 species
UACAAAAAAAAGACCGAAGACGAUUCCUGUCUUCGGUCCAGGGAAAUGGCUCUUCUCAGAGCCGUGCGCUAAAAGUUGGCAUUCAUGCAGGCUUGUCGCCUGACUCUUAAAAGAUAGACCAAUCGCAGGGGAUUGCCAGACG